ensembl:miRNA Mir6334 microRNA 6334
CUUCUGUCACCCUGGAAGCAGACUCGGGAAACAGCCUAAGCACUGUAAUCACUAGUGCCAGGCUCUCCCAGCUGCCGGCUUGGGAUCUGAUGGGAAGCC